GCUCGUCUCAAAGAUUAAGCCAUGCAAGUGCAAGUACGAGCCGACGUCGAGAGACUGCCGGCGACACUGCGAAAGGCUCAUUAAAUCAGUCGUGGUUCAAGCGGUCGUGCGGCGACGCUCGCGCGUCGUCUUCGAGGAUAACCCUCAGAAAAUCUAGAGCUAAUACAUGCGAACGAGCGCCGACUUCGGGAGGCGUGCAUUUAUCAGACCGCGCGUCGGCCUGGGCUCUCUCGCGGGAGCCCAGUCGAUCGUGGUGACUCUGGAUAACGAGAAGCGGAUCGCACGAUCGAACUAAGAAGUCGAUCGGCGAUCGAUCGGACGAGCGUCCGACCCAUCAACUGCCGUCGGUACGGUCUCGGCCUACCGAGGUGCUCACGGGUAACGGGGAAUCAGGGUUCGAUUCCGGAGAGGGAGCCCGAGAAACGGCCGCCACUUCCAAGGAAGGCAGCAGGCGCGCAAAUUACCCACUUCAGACUCUGAGAGGUAGUGACGAGAAAUAUCGAUGUCGGGCCCCGACCGGGCGCCGGCAAUCGAAAUGAGCGCAGCUCAAAGAACCGAAGCUCCGAAGGUCUUCGUCUUCGAAAGGAGAGGUCGGCCGAGGGACGUGCGAGUAUCGAUCGGAGGGCAAGUCUGGUGCCAGCAGCCGCGGUAAUUCCAGCUCCGAAAGCGUAUGCUUAAGUUGUUGCGGUUCAAAAGCUCGUAGUCGGAAAAAAGCUUGGCCGCAACGCGGGCGCCUCGUCUCGAGGCGUCGUCGUCGUCGAAAGAGCCUUGAAACGGCGGUCGGCCUUGGCCUUCUUCGCGGAGGCCUCGAGAUCGAUCGCGCGUUGCCCUGAGGAAAUUGAAGCGCAUCAGGGCGGGUCGAACAAAGCGACCCAGAACAGUCGUGCACGGUACAACGGAAGACGGCCGCGGCAUCGCCGCCGGCGUCGAGUCUCUAGCUCGCGGCAAUGGUCGAGAGGGACGGACGGGGGCAUUCGUACUGCGCCGGGAGGGGUGAAAUCCGUGGAUCGGCGCAAGACGAACCGAAGCGAAGGCGUCUGCCAAGGACGUUUUCUUUGAUCAAGGGCGAAAGUCGGAGGUGCGAAGACGAUCAGAUACCGUCGUAGUUCCGACCCUAAACGAUGCCGACCGCGCGGCCGCCUACGUUCGAUAGUCGAUCGACGGACCCACGCGCUGGGCCCUCGGAGAUCGAAGAGGUCGACGUGGCCGCGCCGGGAGGGAAACCGGAGUCUUCGGGUUCCGGGGAUAGUAUGGUCGCAAAGCUGAAACUUGAAGGAAUUGACGGAAGGGCACCACCAGGAGUGGAGCCUGCGGCUUAAUUCGACUCAACGCGGGAAAACUCACCCGGUCCGGACGCCGCAAGGAUUGACAGAUCGAAAGCUCUUUCUCGAUUCGACGGAUGGUGGUGCAUGGCCGUUCUUAGUUCGUGGAAUGAUUCGUCUGGUCGACUCCGAUAACGAACGAGACUCGAGCUUGCUCGUAGCGCGGCCCGACCCCGGCGGUCGGAGCCUUUCGAAGAGCGCGUCGUCGACGACGACGCGCCAGCGAUCUCAGAGAGACGGGCGGCGGAAAGCCGCACGAGAUCGAGCGAUAACAGGUCUGUGAUGCCCUUCGAUGUUCGGGGCCGCACGCGCGCUACAAUGGUCGGCGCAAAACGAACACACGAUCGGACGACUCGGAGCGCGCCUUCGCGGGCGUGCGACGGUCGAUCCCGGACCGAGGCCGAGAGGCCCCGGCAAACGAGACAAACCCGAUCGCGAUCGGGACAGAGACUUGAAAUUGUUACUCUCGAACGAGGAAUUCCCAGUAGGUGCGAGUCAUCAUCUCGCGCCGACUGCGUCCCUGCCCUUUGUACACACCGCCCGUCGCUACUACCGAUCGAGCGUCCUAGCGAGGUCGCCGGAUCGCGAGCGUCGUCGACCUCGGCCUCGCGGCCUUGGAAAGCGCGCGCACCGCGAGAAGGCGAUCGAACUCGAGCGCUUAGAGGAAGUAAAAGUCGUAACAAGGUUY
rnacentral:rRNA from 1 species